rnacentral:rRNA from 1 species
CNGUAAACGAUGGGUACUAGGUGUAGGAGGUAUCGACCCNUUCUGUGCCGGAGUUAACGCAAUAAGUACCCCGCCUGGGGAGUACGACCGCAAGGUUGAAACUCAAAGGAAUUGACGGGGGCCCGCACAAGCGGUGGAGUAUGUGGUUUAAUUCGACGCAACGCGAAGAACCUUACUAGGUCUUGACAUUGAUGGACAGAACCAGAGAUGGUUCCUCUUCUUCGGAAGCCAGAAAACAGGUGGUGCACGGUUGUCGUCAGCUCGUGUCGUGAGAUGUUGGGUUANNNNNNNNNNCGAGCGCAACCCCUAUCUUAUGUUGCCAGCACUUUGGGUGGGGACUCAUGAGAGACUGCCGCAGACAAUGCGGAGGAAGGCGGGGAUGACGUCAAAUCAUCAUACCCCUUAUGACCUGGGCUACACACGUACUACGAUGGGAGUUAAUAGACGGAAGCGAGAUCGCGAGAUGGAGCAAACCCGAGAAACACUCUCUCAGUUCGGAUCGUAGGCUGCAACUCGCCUACGUGAAGUCGGAAUCGCUAGUAAUCGCAGGUCAGCAUACUGCGGUGAAUACGUUCCCGGGCCU